rnacentral:rRNA from 1 species
UACGGGAGGCAGCAGUGGGGAAUAUUGCACAAUGGGCGAAAGCCUGAUGCAGCUAUGCCGCGUGUAUGAAGAAGGCCUUAGGGUUGUAAAGUACUUUCAUCGGGGAGGAAAAACAAAACUAAUAAUUUUAUUUCUUGACGUUACCCGAAAAAGAAGCACCGGCUAACUCCGUGCCAGCAGCCGCGGUAAUACGGAGGGUGCUAGCGUUAAUCAGAAUUACUGGGCGUAAAGAGCACGUAGGUGGUUUUUUUAAGUCAGAUGUGAAAUCCCUGGGCUUAACCUAGGAACUGCAUUUUGAAACUGAAAUACUAGAGUAUCGUAGAGGGAGGUAGAAUUCUAGGUGUAGCGGUGAAAUGCGUAGAUAUCUGGAGGAAUACCUGUGGCGAAAGCGGCCUCCUAAACGAAUACUGACACUGAGGUGCGAAAAGCGUGGGGAGCAAACAGGGAUUAGAUACC